UAUAAAUUGUGGUUUAAUACAAGACUUCCAAACAACAAAAAUAAUUCAAUUCAAAGGAGAGGGGUGCUAUGGUUAAAAUUAAAAGGCUAGCUAUGAAAAGACUUGUUUUGAUGAUGAUGGUGGUGGUGUUGGCUAUACUUGUACAAGCUAUGGUGGAAGUAGACAACCCUUCCUUUUCCUAUGAUCACUAUCUUAAUCAUCCUCCUUCUCUCACUCCUUUUUUGCAUUCCCUUCCAAUUAUCUCCCUCUCUCCAUAUAAUGAUGCUAAAUCUCGAAGGAAUCGUUCAAAUAGACAAAAUCCUCCCAAUGCAAAACAAAGUCCUGGUCCAGUGAAUACUCCUACGGAAAAAGAAGCUCAUAUUUCAAAAUUAGAAGAAGCAAAAAUAGCAUGUCGCAAAGAGUGUAAGAGAAAGACCUUCCAGCAACUAAAAAGGUCAGGCGAGAGUUCCUUGAUCAGGCCAAAAUAUCGUAAAUGUUUCAGAGAUUGCUUGAAGAGAGAAAUGCAAGAGCCCUAAGAUUUUGAAUUCGGUGAGGAGGAAGAUGAAGACCCAUACGCUUAUUUGGGGUAUUGUGCUUAAGGUUGACUGGAAACCUCAUAUUUUUUAGAUAGGUUGACUUUUAUCGGUCAAUUUGUUGUAUAUUUGAUGUAUCUUCUGUGACACCUUUUGAUAAACAAUUUUU